UGUGUGUGUGUCUGUGUGCGUGCGCGCGCACGCGUGCAUGCACACAUGCGCACACGCACACACACACACUCC